CAUCUCUAUGAGGAAAAUGCAGCGUCUCCAUGCAGAGCGUGGAGACGCUAAACUGGAAUGGCUGUGUCCCACAUGUGCCCCUCCGAUGUCCACAUAUACCUGGCAAAGGUACAUACGGGGGUAUUGCUGUACUCAACCGACAUCACAACAUCUUUGGCACUAUUUCGUGAAGUUACAGUGCCAUUUAGGAGACCUGUCCUUUUCACAGUAGAAUUUUGAGAGACGGAUU